CUUUGGUACUUGCUGGACAGACUGCUGCCACGCCGGCUGGCUAGGUCACUCUGUUCUCUCUCAACCAGAGGGUAGAGGAGCAAGACUGGAAUGGCUGCAGAUGAAACUGGCUGUUGUGUUGUGCCUCUAAGUCCCUCUUUGGGGUUUGGUGGCAGGAAGAGUCUGGGGGUCACAGAGCCUUCAUCCAGUAGCUGUUUGAAGCAGAAACAGGCACCCACAGCUAAGCACUGAAUCUUACUAGUGGAAUCCAGUUGUGGAGAAGGAGGAGGGAUGAGCAAAGAAGCCAAGACAUGACUGGAAAAACCCUCAGAUACAGUGGACCUGACAUACUGAUAGCAUGAAGACCCUAGUCAUAAAGCUGAGGAAACAACAUUGGACCAAACCAAGCCUUCUGAAUGUGGGUGCCAGCUAGGAAGCCAAGACAGUCUAUGGGACCUCUAAGAGUGGAGCCAGUCUUUGUCCCUAGAGUGCAAAUGGACUUUGGGAGCCCAUUCCCUAUGAAGGAAUAUUAUUGAAGCCCAGAUACAGCAAGGAGGGACUAGGCCCUCCCCAAAUGAUAUGAUGGACUUUGAG
rnacentral:lncRNA from 1 species